rnacentral:rRNA from 1 species
CCUACGGGGGGCAGCAGUGAGGAAUAUUGGUCAAUGGUCGGGAGACUGAACCAGCCAAGCCGCGUGAGGGAUGAAGGUACAGAGUAUCGUAAACCUCUUUUGUCAGGGAACAAAGGCGGGGACGUGUCCCCGGAUGAGUGUACCUGAAGAAAAAGCAUCGGCUAACUCCGUGCCAGCAGCCGCGGUAAUACGGAGGAUGCGAGCGUUAUCUGGAUUUAUUGGGGUUAAAGGGUGCGCAGGCGGUCUGUUAAGUCAGCGGUAAAAGCCCGGGGCUCAACCCCGGCCCGCCGGUGAAACUGGCAGUCUCGAGUUGGAGAGAAGUAUGCGGAAUGUGCGGUGUAGAGGUGAAAUGCAUAGAUAUCGCGCAGAACUCCGAUUGCGAAGGCAGCAUGCCGGCUCCACACUGACGCUGAGGCACGAAAGCGUGGGUAUCGAACAGGAUUAGAGACCCGAGUAGUC